rnacentral:rRNA from 1 species
AAGUCGUAACAAGGUCUCCGUUGGUGAACCAGCGGAGGGAUCAUUACCGAGUUUACAACUCCCAAACCCCUGUGAACAUACCAUAUUGUUGCCUCGGCGGUGCCUGUUUCGGCAGCCCGCCAGAGGACCCAAACCCUAGAUUACAUUAAAGCAUUUUUCUGAGUCAAUGAUUAAAUCAAUCAAAACUUUCAACAACGGAUCUCUUGGUUCUGGCAUCGAUGAAGAACGCAGCGAAAUGCGAUAAGUAAUGUGAAUUGCAGAAUUCAGUGAAUCAUCGAAUCUUUGAACGCACAUUGCGCCCGCCAGUAUUCUGGCGGGCAUGCCUGUCCGAGCGUCAUUUCAACCCUCAAGCCCCCGGGCUUGGUGUUGGAGAUCGGCGAGCCCCCCGGGGCGCGCCGUCUCCCAAAUAUAGUGGCGGUCCCGCUGUAGCUUCCUCUGCGUAGUAGCACACCUCGCACUGGGAAACAGCGUGGCCACGCCGUAAAACCCCCCACUUCUGAAAGGUUGACCUCGGAUCAGGUAGGAAUACCCGCUGAACUUAA